CUCUCCUCUCUCUCACUCUCUCUCUCUCUCUGGCGCUGUGCCCAUCUUCGUCUUCUCUCAUUAAUAUAAAAGCUUCGACCUUUCCAAUCCCCCGCCUCAAUUCCUCGAAAACCCGCAAAGCGAAAACCAUCCUUCACACCUCAACCGGCAGCCAACCACUUGUAAUUUCUUGUCCGACGACAUGGGCUUCUUCUCCAAGGAGGAGAAAUCGAGAAAGCUCCUCAGGGGGGUGAAGACCGUCUUCUUCCUCGUCACCAUGCUCAUCUCCCUCCUCCUCUUCUCCGCCCCGAUACUGCUCGUCAUAGCAGACACCCUCCUGCCCUCCGCCCUACUGUCCGCCUCCCUCUCUCCCGCCUCCGUCUCGCUCCAGACUCUGUCCUCCCACUUCUCCAACUACGACUUCCGCUACUCCCUGAUCGACAUCCCCAUAAUUUCCAUCGUCAGAUCAGCUGUCAUUAUCUGUGUUUACAGCUUGUGCGAUGGGCCGAGACUCUCCCGCGGUCCGUACCUCGCGAUCACAACAAUGUGUUCGGUAUCGUCUCUAGUGUUGGUCUCGCUCAAGGCUUCCUUUGUGUUCGGUGACUCGAGGAUGGACCGAGGGGGAUACGUCAGGGCCAUGGAGAUGGCCCUGUUCAUCUCCUCUUUCCUCUUGGCUGUUGCUCAUAUCGUCGUGGCUUAUAAGAUCAGCUGCAGAGAAAGAAGGAAGCUUCUCGUUUACAAGAUUGAUAUUGAAGCGGUUUCAGCUUGCAAGAAGGGGUUCGCGAGGUACCAAAAGAUCCACCGGGUUGAGAGGGAGAAAUGACCCAAUUGACAGUUUGAAGGGAUCCCCAUCUCUCGUACAAUUUCUUUUCUUUUACCGGACUGACCGAUCACCUUCCCCAGAAUCAGGUUGAUUCCGAAGGAAAAAGCAGAAGUUGAGGUUGAAGGGGUCAAAAAUUAACAGCAGACGCUUAUUUUUAUUUAUAGAGAAAUUUUACUUUCUAGAAGAUAUAUAUAUAUAUAUAUAUAUAUACAUGCAUAAUACUUGUAUACUAUUGGCUGAAAUUUCAGCAAAUCAGUAUAUAGAAGUUUUUGUAUUUUAGGGUUGCAGCUACCAUUCCAUUUCCUUCUUCUUUUUUUUUUUUUUGAAUCUUUGGGGGAUUGCCAUUGCCAUGUCUUCUUUGACCUGUAUAGUCUGUAUUUGUAUAAACGCUUGAAAGAUCAGAGAAAUUGGCCCAGUGUGGCUUAUUCAUGAUCUUAAAUCAGUUCAAAGAACUCGUGUUCAGCACUC